UGGGGAAUAUUGGACAAUGGGCGCAAGCCUGAUCCAGCCAUGCCGCGUGAGUGAAGAAGGCCUUAGGGUUGUAAAACUCUUUCGCCGGGGAAGAUAAUGACGGUACCCGGAGAAGAAGCUCCGGCUAACUUCGUGCCAGCAGCCGCGGUAAUACGAAGGGAGCUAGCGUUGUUCGGAAUUACUGGGCGUAAAGCGCACGUAGGCGGACUUGUCAGUCAGGGGUGAAAUCCCAAGGCUCAACCUUGGAACUGCCUCCGAUACAGCAAGCCUAGAGAUCGGGAGAGGUGAGUGGAAUUCCUAGUGUAGAGGUGAAAUUCGUAGAUAUUAGGAAGAACACCAGUGGCGAAGGCGGCUCACUGGCCCGAUACUGACGCUGAGGUGCGAAAGCCAGGGGAGCAAACGGGAUUAGAUACCCUAGUAGUCCCUGAGCGGGCUGGCAAGGCGCAU
rnacentral:rRNA from 1 species